rnacentral:pre_miRNA from 1 species
AUUGAGGGGAAUGUUGUCUGGCUCGAGGACACUAACUAGAUCCAUUAUUUCUGUGAUUUUUCUCUCUCACUUCGAUCUCCUCCCCGCACAUAAAUCAUCAUGGAUCUAACGUUGGUGUCGUCGGACCAGGCUUCAUUCCCCCCAAU